rnacentral:rRNA from 1 species
UACGUAGGGUGCGAGCGUUAAUCGGAAUUACUGGGCGUAAAGCGUGCGCAGGCGGAUAUGUAAGUUAGGAGUGAAAUCCCCGGGCUCAACCUGGGAACUGCUCUUAAGACUGCAUAUCUAGAGUUUGUCAGAGGGGGGUGGAAUUUCAAGUGUAGCAGUGAAAUGCGUAGAGAUUUGAAGGAACACCGAUGGCGAAGGCAGCCCCCUGGGAUAAAACUGACGCUCAUGUACGAAAGCGUGGGUAGCAAACAGG